rnacentral:antisense_RNA from 1 species
UGUGGGAGCUGGCUUGCCAGCGAUAGCGGUGGGUCAGGUUCAUCUAUUUCACUGAAAAUCCGCAAUCGCUGGCAAGCCAGCUCCCACA